GAUGAACGCUGGCGGCGUGCCUAAUACAUGCAAGUCGAGCGAACAGACGAGGAGCUUGCUCCUCUGACGUUAGCGGCGGACGGGUGAGUAACACGUGGAUAACCUACCUAUAAGACUGGGAUAACUUCGGGAAACCGGAGCUAAUACCGGAUAAUAUAUUGAACCGCAUGGUUCAAUAGUGAAAGACGGUUUUGCUGUCACUUAUAGAUGGAUCCGCGCCGCAUUAGCUAGUUGGUAAGGUAACGGCUUACCAAGGCAACGAUGCGUAGCCGACCUGAGAGGGGGAUCGGCCACACUGGAACUGAGACACGGUCCAGACUCCUACGGGAGGCAGCAGUAGGGAAUCUUCCGCAAUGGGCGAAAGCCUGACGGAGCAACGCGGCGUGAGUGAUGAAGGUCUUCGGAUCGUAAAACUCUGUUAUGAGGGAAGAACAAAUGUGUAAGUAACUAUGCACGUCUUGACGGUACCUAAUCAGAAAGCCACGGCUAACUACGUG
rnacentral:rRNA from 1 species